rnacentral:rRNA from 1 species
UCCUACGGGUGGCAGCAGUGGGGAAUUUUGGACAAUGGGCGCAAGCCUGAUCCAGCCAUUCCGCGUGCAGGAUGAAGGCCCUCGGGUUGUAAACUGCUUUUGUACGGAACGAAACGGUGCUCUCUAAUACAGGGCGCUAAUGACGGUACCGUAAGAAUAAGCACCGGCUAACUACGUGCCAGCAGCCGCGGUAAUACGUAGGGUGCAAGCGUUAAUCGGAAUUACUGGGCGUAAAGCGUGCGCAGGCGGUUUUGUAAGACAGGUGUGAAAUCCCCGGGCUUAACCUGGGAACUGCACUUGUGACUGCAACGCUGGAGUGCGGCAGAGGGGGAUGGAAUUCCGCGUGUAGCAGUGAAAUGCGUAGAUAUGCGGAGGAACACCGAUGGCGAAGGCAAUCCCCUGGGCCUGCACUGACGCUCAUGCACGAAAGCGUGGGGAGCAAACAGGAUUAGAUACCCGUGUAGUC